UACGUAGGGUGCAAGCGUUGUCCGGAAUCACUGGGCGUAAAGGGCGCGUAGGUGGCGCGAGUAGUCAACGGUGAAAGCCCGGGGCUCAACCCCGGGUCGGCCGUCGAUACUCUCGUGCUUGAGCACUGUAGAGGCAGGUGGAAUUCCGGGUGUAGCGGUGGAAUGCGUAGAGAUCCGGAAGAACACCGGUGGCGAAGGCGACUACCUGGCCUGUUCUUGACGCUGAGGCGACGAAAGGCUAGGGGAGCGAACGGG
rnacentral:rRNA from 1 species